rnacentral:rRNA from 1 species
GGGAUUGCCCUAGUAACGGCGAGUGAAGCGGCAAUAGCUCAAAUUUGAAAGCUAGCCUUCGGGUUCGCAUUGUAAUUUGUAGAGGAUGAUUUGGGGAAGCCGCCUGUCUAAGUUCCUUGGAACAGGACGUCAUAGAGGGUGAGAAUCCCGUAUGUGACAGGAAAUGGCACCCUAUGUAAAUCUCCUUCGACGAGUCGAGUUGUUGAAUGCAGCUCUAAAUGGGAGGUAAAUUUCUUCUAAAGCUAAAUAUUGGCGAGAGACCGAUAGCGCACAAGUAGAGUGAUCGAAAGAUGAAAAGCACUUUGGAAAGAGAGUUAAAAAGCACGUGAAAUUGUUGAAAGGGAAGCGCUUGCAAUCAGACUUGUUUAAACUGUUCGGCCGGUCUUCUGACCGGUUUACUCAGUUUGGACAGGCCAGCAUCAGUUUCGGCGGCCGGAUAAAGGCUCUGGGAAUGUGGCCUCCACUUCGGUGGAGGUGUUAUAGCCCAGGGUGUAAUACGGCCAGCCGGGACUGAGGUCCGCGCUUCGGCUAGGAUGCUGGCGUAAUGGUUGUAAGCGACCCGUCUUGAAACACGGACCAAGGAGUCUAACAUCUAUGCGAGUGUUCGGGUGUCAAACCCCUGCGCGUAAUGAAAGUGAACGGAGGUGGGAACCCGCAAGGGUGCACCAUCGACCGAUCCUGAUGUCUUCGGAUGGAUUUGAGUAAGAGCAUAGCUGUUGGGACCCGAAAGAUGGUGAACUAUGCCUGAAUAGGGUGAAGCCAGAGGAAACUCUGGUGGAGGCUCGCAGCGGUUCUGACGUGCAAAUCGAUCGUCAAAUUUGGGUAUAGGGGCG